GAUACCGUAACUUCGGGAGAAGGUAUACCCCGGUAGUGUGAAGCGCCUGCGCGCUUAGCAUGAUGGGGUCGCAGAGAAUCGGUGGCUGCGACUGUUUAUUAAAAAACACAGCACUCUGCAAAGACGAAAGUCGACGUAUAGGGUGUGACGCCUGCCCGGUGCCGGAAGGUUAAGUGAUGGGGUGCAAGCUCUUGAUCGAAGCCCCGGUAAACGGCGGCCGUAACUAUAACGGUCCUAAGGUAGCGAAAUUCCUUGUCGGGUAAGUUCCGACCUGCACGAAUGGCGUAACGAUGGCCACACUGUCUCCUCCUGAGACUCAGCGAAGUUGAAGUGUUUGUGAUGAUGCAAUCUACCCGCGGCUAGACGGAAAGACCCCAUGAACCUUUACUGUAGCUUUGCAUUGAUCUGUGAACCGGCCUGUGUAGGAUAGGUGGGAGGCUUUGAAGCGUGGUCGCUAGAUCACGUGGAGCCAUCCUUGAAAUACCACCCUGGUUUGUUUGCGGUUCUAACCUUGGUCCGUUAUCCGGAUCGGGGACAGUGCAUGGUGGGCAGUUUGACUGGGGCGGUCUCCUCCCAAAGUGUAACGGAGGAGUUCGAAGGUACGCUAGGUACGGUCGGAAAUCGUGCUGAUAGUGCAAUGGCAUAAGCGUGCUUGACUGUGAGACUGACAAGUCGAACAGGUGCGAAAGCAGGACAUAGUGAUCCGGUGGUUCUGAAUGGAAGGGCCAUCGCUCAACGGAUAAAAGGUACUCUGGGGAUAACAGGCUGAUACCGCCCAAGAGUUCAUAUCGACGGCGGUGUUUGGCACCUCGAUGUCGGCUCAUCUCAUCCUGGGGCUGUAGCCGGUCCCAAGGGUAUGGCUGUUCGCCAUUUAAAGAGGUACGUGAGCUGGGUUUAAAACGUCGUGAGACAGUUUGGUCCCUAUCUGCCGUGGGCGUUGGAUACUUGACGGAGCCUGCUCCUAGUACGAGAGGACCGGAGUGGACGUACCUCUGGUGUACCGGUUGUCAUGCCAAUGGCAUUGCCGGGUAGCUAAGUACGGAAGAGAUAACCGCUGAAGGCAUCUAAGCGGGAAACUCGUCUGAAGAUUAGGUAUCCCGGGGACUUGAUCCCCCUAAAGAGUCGUUCGAGACCAGGACGUUGAUAGGUCGGGUGUGGAAGCGCAGUAAUGCGUUAAGCUAACCGAUACUAAUUGCUCGUGAGGCUUGAUCCU
rnacentral:rRNA from 1 species